rnacentral:rRNA from 1 species
CGCGAAAGCAGGGGGUGCCCGCAAGGGAGCCGAGAGACAGGUGGUGCAUGGUUGUCGUCAGCUCGUGUCGUGAGAUGUUGGGUUAAGUCCCGCAACGAGCGCAACCCUCACCCCUUGUUGCCAUCAGGUCAUGCUGGGCACUCUAGGGGAACUGCCAGCGCUAAGCUGGAGGAAGGUGGGGAUGACGUCAAGUCAUCAUGCCCCUUACGCCCUGGGCUACACACGUGCUACAAUGGCCGGUACAAAGGGAUGCGAGACCGCGAGGUGGAGCUAAACCCAAAAGGCCGGUCUAAGUUCAGAUCGGAGUCUGCAACUCGACUCCGUGAAGGAGGAAUCGCUAGUAAUCGCGCAUCAGCACGGCGCGGUGAAUACGUUCCCGGGCCUUGUACACACCGCCCGUCACACCACGAAAGCCAG